GAUGAAGAACGCAGCGAAAUGCGAUACGUAAUGUGAAUUGCAGAAUUCAGUGAAUCAUCGAGUCUUUGAACGCACAUUGCGCCCCCCGGCAUUCCGGGGAGCAUGCCUGUUCGAGCGUCUCUUGGAAUACCCCUCACGCCGGCGGAGGCGUGGUCAUGGCGGCGGUGGCGUGCCCCGAGAGGGAGGCCACCGCGCUGGAAUCCAUGGGCGGACGCCUGCCGCGUGGCCGAGCGUGAUAAGACGCACUGGCGCUCGCGCGCGGCGAGGCUGCCGGCCCUGGCCCGCUCGUCGGGCGGGGACAGCAACACUUGGGAACUCCUCGAAUCAGGUAGGGAUACCCGCUGAACUUAAGCAUAUCAAUAAGCGGAGGA
rnacentral:misc_RNA from 1 species